UACAGAGGCCUCGAGCGUUAGGCGGAAUCACUGGGCUUAAAGCGUGUGUAGGCGGACUUCUAAGUACCUUGUGAAAUCCCACGGCUCACCCGUGGAACUGCUCGGUAUACUGGUUGUCUUGAGCCUUCUAGGGGCGAGUGGAACAAAUGGUGGAGCGGUGAAAUGCGUAGAUAUCGCUUGGAACGCCGAAGGUGAAAACAGGCUGCUGGGGUUGCGCCGACGCUGAGACACGAAAGCCAGGGGAGCAAACGGG
rnacentral:rRNA from 1 species